UUGAAGAAUUUGAAGACUUCAACUUGCAAACUGGAUUAAUUUGAGACUUCAUCUUGCAGACUUGAAGAAUUUGAAGACAUCAACU
rnacentral:pre_miRNA from 1 species